rnacentral:rRNA from 1 species
ACUCCUACGGGAGGCAGCAGUGGGGAAUAUUGCACAAUGGGCGCAAGCCUGAUGCAGCCAUGCCGCGUGUAUGAAGAAGGCCUUCGGGUUGUAAAGUACUUUCAGCGCGGAGGAAGUCGAUACGGUUAAUAACCGCGUCGAUUGACGUUACCCGCAGAAGAAGCACCGGCUAACUCCGUGCCAGCAGCCGCGGUAAU